UUCACUUAGCCGCCGGGUUAAGUGUUGAUGUGUCAUAAGUCCAUGUCGUUAGGCCUUAGAAGAUAUGGAUUUAUGGCACUUUUUUUG
rnacentral:ncRNA from 1 species